GGCUCACCUAGGCGACGAUCCCUAGCUGGUCUGAGAGGAUGACCAGCCACACUGGAACUGAGACACGGUCCAGACUCCUACGGGAGGCAGCAGUGGGGAAUAUUGCACAAUGGGCGCAAGCCUGAUGCAGCCAUGCCGCGUGUGUGAAGAAGGCCUUCGGGUUGUAAAGCACUUUCAGCGGGGAGGAAGGCGUUAAGGUUAAUAACCUUGGCGAUUGACGUUACCCGCAGAAGAAGCACCGGCUAACUCCGUGCCAGCAGCCGCGGUAAUACGGAGGGUGCAAGCGUUAAUCGGAAUUACUGGGCGUAAAGCGCACGCAGGCGGUCUGUCAAGUCGGAUGUGAAAUCCCCGGGCUUAACCUGGGAACUGCAUUCGAAACUGGCAGGCUAGAGUCUUGUAGAGGGGGGUAGAAUUCCAGGUGUAGCGGUGAAAU
rnacentral:rRNA from 1 species